AGGAGAGAGUCUCAUGAUGCAGUGCGGGCAUGCAUCUCAAUGCCCUGCCCAGGAAUGUCCCUGAAUGAGAUGCAAGGACACGCUGAAAUUAUCGGGGACCCCAAGAUACAGAUGAUGAACCUGAGAGCUGAAGGAGAAAAUGGAUCCACUGUGAAGACCCCCAACCAGGAUGCUGUGAUAGUUUGCAGACAGAAAUGAAGACCAAAUAUGAGAGAUGUGUGCCCCGGCUGCAAGAUGCGAACGUUGGACAGUGGAAUUGGGACCAUCCCCCUUCCCGAAUCCUGUUCCUUCUUCUCCUCCAUCCUGCACCUCCUCCCCAAAUCCUCCUCCAUCCCUGAGCCGUCCCUCAGUCCUCCCAGUGUCCCAAGUUCCUCCAGCGAGGACGUGUCUCCUUCCCCGCUACCCCGAUGGAGAAUCCCUUCCGGUUUUAAGGACGGCAGCCUUACGGGGGUGCCGAACUCCCUCUCCGACUCCUCCAUGACCCAUAUCCAGUCAGUGCCUUUCCCCACUGUGGCCUUCCUCCAGCCCAUCCAACCCCCGCCUGCACCCGUCAUGACGUCUGCCCGUGUGUGUGAGACCCAGAACAGGCUGCCCAGACCGCCACCAGAGUUGAGGAGCUCCAGAAGCUCGACCAGGGACAGCUGGCCGAUCACGCCGGUGCAAUGGAACCAAAGAAAAUGACCUACAUCAAAUCCAAAACACGAGCCCCACCAAGCCAACAGAAAGAACAAACACGACUUCAGCUCGCCAACUAGUCCAUGAAGCUAAAUGAGUCCAGCUGAAGUCAGGAAUCAGGCAGCCGGCUGGAUUUAUCUCUGUCACACACACACACACACACACACACACACACACACACACACACACACACACACACACACACACACACACACACACACACACACACACACACGGAGGAUCCCCACAUCCCACAGUUUGGACACUCUGCAUCAGGAUGAAAUGCUCACAGCUGGACAAUAAGUGAGUCUGGCUUCCACCUGUGCUCAGUGUGGAGCUGAGAUACUGAGCAGCCUUUCAGGAUGCAGCAUUGAAGCUUCUGGUCGUCAUUUUGGAGCUCGUUGGCAUCGUCUGUGUGCAGCAGAUGGAAUUUUAAAUGUAGCAGCUCUGCCGUCUCUGGGCUGGAGUUACACACACGUGGAUUUCUCUCUGUCAUUUCCCCCCUUUGCAGAGGUAGCAAUUUGACAUAAACAUGGCAGAUACUUUUGUUUUGGUGAUACCAGGUCCGCUUCUGUAGCGUUGUCAUGGCUACCUGAAAUCUUAACCAUUUAACACAAGCUGAUUCUUGUACUGAGGGCCCAGUGUAAGCAGAUGCUCGUGGACAUUAGCUUCAUUUUCACAUCGCUAAGGAAAGAAUCAUUGUAAUUUUAAAGCUAAGCUAACUGCUCCUAAGCUAACAAUAUAUGAUAAGUACCAAGAAGAACGAAAGGCACACAGCUGUCAUCUUUCAAAAGACAUCCCAAACAUUUUAACUCAAACACCAUCAUAAGAUAAGAGUCACAUAAAACGACAUUCAAUCACAAUUUUUACAUUUUGCUUUGGGUUACACAUAAAGCAGACAAUGAAAGGACGCCUCAAAUACACAUAUUUAUCAAACGAACCUCAAACUACUAAAACUUAUGAAAGUGUUUAACUUCCCCUGCCUCUUCUUGAAAUGAAACAAUGAUGAGGGUGGUUUUGGUUUUGUGUAGGGAACAUGAAUCCAAGCACAGGGGAACAUCUUGGUCCUGGAUAAAUACUGGAAAACAGAGUAGAUCAAUAUUUAACAUUUAAACACUUACAUGCACUUCAGAAAGCAUGAAACUGGACUCAACAGCUGGUCGCAACGAUAAAACUUUGUUCUGCAAUCCAGACCAAUCAGAACAGGCUUUGUCUGUAUGAUCAUACACCAUGUUAAGUCGGCGACACACUAGACGAUUUUGGGCCUGAUUUGACCUUGAAAACGAUCGGGGGGGGGGGCGUGGCCUGAUUUGAGGCUGGUCGUAUCUGAUUUUUCUGUCAAAAGAUUCCUCAAGUGUGGGGUGUCACUACGAUUAUUUUACUGCUUCCAGAUCUUGUCGGAGCCUCCCUGAUCUUGAAUCAAUUCCGGGUCAGACUGCCUCCAACAGAUUACCUGCAUCGGCCAAUCAGAGCGAGCAGACUUGAAAGCGUCACCAAACCGGAUGUUUGGUACUAUGAUAACUCACCCUCAGCUCCCGCUGCAAAUUGUAUAAAGCCACACAUAAUCUGUCUGCAAAACAAAACACACAGCAGGAGAGCCAAAGUUGAUCUUCUUCUAUAUUUUUUUCUUCUUCUGAAGUCCCGUUUGAUCUCCUGUCUGUGAAAUCUUACCACAGAUGGCAUGUGUGUGGUCUCCCGGCCUGGCCGAGAUGUCCAGUGUGUGUGUUCAGAGUAUUAUAAUAUUUAAAACCGGUUGAAGCCAUCCUUAUGUCUGUGGUCUCCAACGUUUUUAAAAUGGGGUGAGGUUUGACAAUCGUCUAGUGUGUGGCCAGCUUUAUUCUGAUUUCUGCAUUAAAAGAAAAUGUUUCCAGUGAAUGUAAUCGGUAAUGUGUGAGCCAGUGUGGUAGAGUUAAGGAGCCAGAGUGUCCACAUGUGUUUUAAUUAACAUCCAAUAUUCAAACUACAAUGUUAUCUCAUUUCACACUUUCUGCACCAAAAAUGAGACCAUAUUCAUACUCAGACCAUACUCCAACUCAUUUGUGACAAGAUAAAAGUCAGGAUUUGUGAGACUAGAAAUGUAAGUCCAUUUUCAAGUGGUUAUGAUUUAAGAGUUCAACAGAUACAGGACUUUCAGCCAUGAGACCAGAAUUUAAGUAUCGUAGAAACCAAAUAAAAAUGACAUAUUUUAAAUGCAACGCUUAAUGUCACAUCCGUAACAUACAUACCUAACGUGACACCAAUAAGAAUUUUAACUCGUGUGAUUAGAUACGUUGUUUUAUCUGUAAUGAAGACGUAAACAAAUAUCGACCUUUUACCGAGGUUAACCUUGGAGGGAGGCUAACUCUGUGAUUGAAUCUUUUAGUCUCAACGAGCUCUUCAGAAAAAGCCUUGCAAGCUGGUCGGCUGCAUGAUCCAGCCGCUAAUUUUAUUCUAUGUUGUGGGGCAGUUUGAGUCCAACCAACCAUGCCAGAAUAUGCACCGUAUUAUAUCAAAAUGUUUGUUGUUCCAGGUUGAACAUUUAAGUAACUUUGCACAAGAGGAAACCGUUGCAGCUGUCAGGUCACUUUUGGAGGAAUAUAUAAGACCUCCUCUAAAAUCCUGCAGAGCAAAGAUCAUUAGCCCGCCAUCUUUGAACUUUGUGUGAACAUCUGCUUUUGAUCUAACAACUAUCUCAACUACAAUACGUAUUAAAAACAUCACACUGAACCUCAUAAACUCAAAGACUGCACACUUUCAUCCUGAGGACCUUUUAUGUACAGCACUAACUACUGAUUGACCCUCAUGAGCUCGAUACCUGACUGAGUAAUGUGAUCUUUUAAAGUGUGCACUAUCUUGUUGGAACCUUUUUUAUUUUAUUUAUCGUCACAAUGUUGAUUAUAUAAACUUGCAUGAAACCACCCUAUGGCUUAUUCUAAACACAGAAAUGCAUCAUGUGAAUCUGUUAUUCAGAUAUGAAGAGUUUCAUUACAGGAGGGAAAAAUAACGAUCUGAUAUCUAGAGCAAAAAUAAAAUCACUCAUUCACUUUCAUGCAGCAGUUUUGGGGGGUAUCCCUAUGUUUCCUCAACCCUAUGUUUCCUCAUUUCUAUGACAUUUCCCCCCCCAUCAAAAUUAGGCCCUAUGUUCCCUCAGCCUAAUGUUUCCUCAGCCCUAUGUUCCUUAGCUCUAUGUUCCCUCAGCCCUAUGUUCCUCAGCCCUACGUUCCUCAUCCCUAUGUUCCCUCAGCCCUACGUUCCUCAGCCCUAUGUUCCCUCAUCCCUAUGUUCCCUCAGCCCUACGUUCCUCAGCCCUAUGUUCCCUCAUCCCUAUGGUCCCCUCAGCCCAAUUUUCAUAACUUUUCCCCCAUCAAAACUAAGCCCUAUCUUCCGUCAUCCUAAUGUUCCCUCAAGGAUGAAUCACUAGUGUGUAAAGACCGUUAUGCUACAUUCACACUAAAAGCAAAAAUCACAUCAAUUGGUUAAGUUAAGGAAUAUCGGGCUGGGGUAACAUAAACACGCUCCCAUUUUAUUCUCACUAAUGAAACUCUCCAUAAAUGUUCUGAAGUUUGCAUUUUUCUACAUGAUCCCACAGUGAUGACAUCAGGACAAAGCAGUGAGUUUUGCAUGUAUCGUCAGUAAUAAAACACCCAGUAGGCACAUUGUAGAAACAUUGUCGUGCUAGCUCAGGGAAAAUGCCAUUUAUUGUCUCUGAUAGAUGCUGUGGAUUCAAUAAGUCAACCUCAUCUUCACUGCAGCAGUUCUCACUGACGCUGUUUAAGGAUAUUUACCUGAAUAUUUUCCUCCCGUCUGUUUCUGUCUGUACAUUAACCUGUAGAAUAUCUCACCGCGGUUGCUCAGUUACUCUCUAAAUUACGUGUGCUGUGUCCUUUCUAGUACUGUUUUCGGUGUUUUGAAUGCAUCCCGACAUAUUUGGCAGUUUUAGCUGCUUUUGCAAUGUUUUUUACCCCCCUCACACCUUUGUCAGCUUCCUGCCUUUCAUGUGUAGAUAUUUGCCAAAACGCAUAUUGCCAAACAAACACUGCUUGGAGCUAAUCGCGCACACAGGAAAUGAAUGCAACUAAAUCUACAUGUCUGACUAUAGCCAUAUUACUUUGGAGCAUUAGAGGCAGUUGAUGUAGUGCACUGUACAGUUGCACAAUAUCACAACUCAUGUCAUCUUACUGUAUUUACCUCCUCUUUGAAUCACUUGCUACAUGUAUAUGUUGAAGGUAAUGUUUGUAAAACUAAAGUUCCUGUUAAACACACAGGUGAGAUAUGUAGCGUUCACAGGUGAGGCGAGGUGAUCAGGGAACAGAUUGGCUGUAUCGAUACGGGUAGAUGGAGCAUGGCGUCUGUGUUUUAAAAGAGAAAACAGCUCACGUAUUGAAAGAGCGUCACUCUCACAAGAGUAUUGUAUUUUUCUAAAGUUUACUCGAAAACGCCCUGUAUUUGUACUCUGCACUGAUGAGUGUAAUUAAACAUUUAUUGCACAUAUUCUUACUCACGAUUACAGUUAUGCUCCUUCUAAAUGUGUUUUUUUUUUCAGAACCCAAUAAUAACAGUGAUGUUUUUUGUGUGACAGUCACCUUAGCAGUUCAAACUGAGAAUUGUAUAUUACUGAUAUUCUUUGUUUUAUGUAAAAGAAGAAGGAAAAAUAAACUAUUUCAAUACUUAUUGUUCA